rnacentral:lncRNA from 15 species
GUAAUGUAUAUGUUUGUCCAAUAGAUGCCCUCUGGCCACAAUGUGUUUUUUACAUAUUUCUUCACAUUGUUCUACAUGUUUUUAUAGAAACAACUGCAGCCCCCACUUUAAAUACUACAGCUACAACAAAUACAAUGGCCAGUGCUGCAACUCCAAUUAUUGCUGCUACAACUACAACAACAACGGUCACAACUACAACCACAACAACUCCCACAACCACUACAUCUGUAGCGACAACUGCUGAGGCAGUCACACAAAGGCGGCUGACUUUUAGAUCUGCUGGACAGACAUUUACAAGUGACUUGCUGAAUCCAUCAUCUGCAGCAUUUACAAGUCAAGCCACAAUGAUAAAGUCAACACUUGAACCUUUCUACCGAAACGCAUUUCCUUCAUUCCGCUCCUUGACAGUGAUUUCUUUCAGAAAGGGAUCAAUCAUCAACACCAUGGACCUUCGAUUUGCAUCUACAUCUGUACCUAAUGACACUCAGAUUGGAAAUACUUUGGUCAGCGCAGCUUCAAACAUCACAGCCUUCAACAUUGACACCACUUUCAUUUCUGUGAAUGGCACACGUAAGCAAUACUGAGAGCUACCUCAUCAAAAAUUUACAAGAUUACAGAAAUGUUUGUUAAAGUAAGCAAGUCAUGUAUCCAUCACUGUCUGUGACACCAGUGUGUGUGCUUAUUUUUAGUGUUGGUCAGUAAACAAUUCUGUUGUCUCAAUCAACAAAAGGAAGUAAUUACUGGAUUCGUACUAUUUAAUCUAUUUGAUAUAUUUCCAGAAUUUUAUCUGCCCUCUGGCUACAAUGUCUUUUUUUUUUUUACAUAUUUCUUCAACUGCUGAAAAAUUCACAAGAUUACAGAACUGUUUGUUAAAACAAUUUCUUGUUUCUUUUUCUCAACAUUUACAGAAGUUUCAAGUGGAGUGAGCCACAAGAUCAGUCUCAUCACUGCAUCCUUCCUUGUGCUGUUGUCAUGGCUACUUUCAAGCCAGCAAUAGUGACAGUGCUGAUAUCCAUGUGAAACCCCAUUAUAAACUGACUGCUAUCACUGGUCUAAAAAAGGACAUUGAUCUUAUUAAAAAUCCAAGAAGACCCCUGAGUAUAUGGCUUGGAAAGAACUUCCAGGCAUUUAAUUCGAAGUCGGGAUGACCACACACAUUGAUAACAAAGUUUGACUGCAAUGGCACAUUUUAUUCAAACCUUCAACAUUGUUCAUGUUUUUAUCAAUUCAUCUUAAAAAUCUGGUAUUUUCUCUCUUGGCCUAAUCUCAAGAAGGUCAUCCGUGUUUUUGUUUAAUCUUGGUUAGAUUACUAUAGUUCGUCAUAUUCAGGGUUGAGCUCACACAUUCAGCUGGUACAGAAUGCAGCUGCUGGGCUUUUAACGAAUACCAGAAGACGAGAUAGCCUCUCUUCACUGGUUAGCAGUUAGUUUGAGAAUUUGGCUGAUCACCUUUAAAGCACGAAUUGCUGCUCUCUUUGAGCCAGGUCGCAGUCUCAGGUCCUCAGGCAGGGCUCUGCUAGCUGUUCCUGAAGACUAAAGGUGACCAGGCUCUUGCAGUCAAGGCCCUUAAGCUCUGGAACCUGCUCCCCGAGGAUCUGAGGCUUGCUGAGUCACUNNNNNNNNNNNNNNNNNNNNNNNNNNNNNNNNNNNNNNNNNNNNNNNNNNNNNNNNNNNNNNNNNNNNNNNNNNNNNNNNNNNNNNNNNNNNNNNNNNNNCACACAGAGAUUGUAUCUGCACUUUUACUGGUUGGACACCGUUUGUCACCAUGUAUGACACAAUGAACUUUUACUAUAAAUCUUUUAUUGUCAUAAAAACAUGUUCUGAACUAAAAGUGGAGACAAAGUGAGUUGAGGUGCUUUAACCUCCAUUACAUCCCUGGUUAGCAGGAUGAAGGCGCCCUCUUGUGUAUCUUCCUUUGUCAGUGUGCUCACAGGAGUCACAGUCUGAUGCUGCAUUCAGGUCACGUGGGAAAAGAUUGUAGAGGAGAGAUUACAAUUAUUAUUCAGAUCAACUCUUAUGUUGAAAAUACUAUUUGGGGAUUUGAGGCUACUGGUUCAAAUAUCUCUGCUAAAUGGCCUCGUCCUGCAUUAGAAAAGUAGUCUACGCAGUUAAAACACCCAAAGAGCUGAUAGAACAGUGGCAUCAGGGAGAAGAAAACACUGAAUUUGUUAAACAAAAGUCUAUUAAUUGACAGUUAAAAUCAAUAAAAUACUAAAUACACACAGAGGAUUGUAUAAAAAGUUCAUAAAAGUAUCAGGAAAACUCAUCUCUUAAAUUAAGGAAAUAAUUUGCUCCAAAUUCCUCCAAACUGCUCAUUUUACACAAACUUCCUGCAGUUAUUGUGUUCACUGUGGUUAUUGUACCGUGUAUCAGUUGUUCUGUACUCUUACUGUUAUGCAUUGAAUAUAACAUGAAUGAUCCAUAAAAUAUGUCACUUAGUUUACUCAAUGAUAGAAAGGGGGUCCAAGCACAGAUUGAGAGCAUGUGUGCAAUAGAAACAUAGAUACUUGGUGCAGUGUACUGAUAGUGUUUGACAAGAAGUAGUACUGCAGUAUCUCACCAUAUCAAUGUUGUAUCACAGAGACUCUUUGUAGUGAAGGGAAAUAAUAAAAAGAGUGCACAAGUUCCUCAGUGUAGAUUGUCCUCUGUAAUUAAAAUAAGAAACAGCAGGUGGAGCCAGACACACACAGACAGACAUCAGUGAAUCAGUCAUCACUGCUGUUAUCAUUGAACCAGGUCAGCUUCAAAUGGAACAAUCUCACCUAAAACCAAUGGCUUUUCUGGGUCAUUUUUAAAUACUUUGUCUAACUUUUAUUUAUGGACUAUAUUUAAGUAACAUUUACACAACAUUUUACAUCAUUUUUCUGCAGUUUAAAUUGCCUAAAUUUGUUCUUAAUGUUUUUGUUUAUUGAAACAAUGACUUUAAAAAAAAAAUUGUUUAAUUUAACAACCCAUUUAUUUUUCUUAAGUGAAAAACUAUUUUUUUCAAUAAAACAUUUUCCAGCAAGUUUGCAUGGCAAAAACAACAACAAGGUAUAGUUCACCCUGUUAUAUAGUUAUAGUAUAGUUAGGUAUAGUUUUUUGUUAUUAUUUACUCACCCCUUUGUCAAUAGAAGGAUUGGUGAAGUUUUGUUAACAUCCGUGUUCUUCUGCGAGUUUGAGAGACCUUUUUUCCACUCAACUGCAGUGAGCGGUAUCUUAGCAUCAAAAGUCCCAAAAAUACAUCAAUAAUCAAUAAAAUGUCUCCAUACUGCUUGUCUGAGGUAAUCCAAGUGUCCUGUAGCUCACACAUGCCAAGACGUUUGUACAAAACAUAACAAACUUGUGUUUUCAGCUGUGUUUGCUCUGCUGCUCUUCCAAUGCGUGCUCCUUCCAACGCCGCACACAAACUUACACACUACUAACUUCCAGCUAGCCCAUCCGUGUUCACGCAGCACCACAGUGGAAGCAAAGCAGAGCAAACAAAGCCAAAACACAAUUUUGUUCUGUUUUUCAAAACAUCUAGGAAUGUGUAAGCUGCAGGACACUUGGAUUACUUCAGAUGAGCAAUAUGGAGACAUUUUUUGGAUGUUUGAAGCCAAGUUGCCGUUCAAUGCAGUUUUGUGAGAAACAAACAUCUCGGCAAACUCCCAGAAGAGCAUGAUGAGUCCUUCUAUCGGCAUCGGGGUGAGUAGACGAUGACAGAAAUUUCAUCUUAGGGUGGCUAAAAUGGGUUUGAGGUAGCUUGUUAAAGGCACAAGGACAAGUUCAGGAACUGUUUGCAUAGAGCAUACGUAGCCUAUCGUUUGGAGAGGCUUUUUAACCUUAAACUCUGGAAAACAUUUGACAUGCUGGUGCAUCUUAAAAGACAUGCUUACUAUUCCUUUUUAUCUUAAAGAACAGUGUUUUGCUCUGAGGUUCUAAACGUCUGUUUCUGUAUCAUGAGUAAUAUCCUACAAAAAGCAGAGCAUCUUGACACUAAAAAGUGCGAUAUUUGGCCCCUCGCUCUUUUCAUGCCCACACUCACAUCCGUGACCCAU